UCCCUGGUGUCUCAGAUGGUAAAGAAACCACCUGCAAUGUGGGAGACCUGGGUUUGAUCCCCGGAUCGGGAA
rnacentral:tRNA from 1 species